rnacentral:rRNA from 1 species
CGUGUAGGCGGCCCGAUAAGUCCGCUGUGAAAGUCCAGGGCUCAACCCUGGAAUGCCGGUGGAUACUGUCGGGCUCGAAUCCGGAAGAGGUGAGUGGAAUUCCUGGUGUAGCGGUGAAAUGCGCAGAUAUCAGGAGGAACACCAAUGGCGAAGGCAGCUCACUGGGACGGUAUUGACGCUGAGACGCGAAAGCGUGGGGAGCAAACAGGAUUAGAUACCCUGGUAGUCCACGCCGUAAACGAUGGUCACUAGGUGUGGGGGGUGUCGACUCCCUCCGUGCCGGAGCUAACGCAUUAAGUGACCCGCCUGGGGAGUACGGCCGCAAGGCUAAA